rfam:Picea glauca, whole genome shotgun sequence.
ACAUGCCUACAAAAUAACGUUAAUGCACCAGAUCCCAUUAUAACUCUACAGUCAAGUGUGCUCAGGCUAGAGUAGUAUUGGGAUGGGUGACCGCCCGAGAAGUCCUAGUGUUUUACAUGCC